rnacentral:misc_RNA from 1 species
AGGCCGUCCAGGGUGAGCAGG